UAGGGAGAACACGUCAAUGGAAGGGGGGGGGUGUAAUCUAAGAUAGCACAAGGGUUAAAGUUCAAUGUUCUUCUAAUGUUUGCUUUUCUAAACAUUAACAGAACGGUUCGUUAGGAUUGUGUGGUUCUACUUUAAACGGAGGUUUUUAUUUGACAUCUUCUUUUUUGUUUUAUUUUUUAGUCUGUCUCAGACCGGGGUGGUCACCGGAAAUGACGUCUCGGUGCUUUUAUUUUGUACACCAAGCUUCCGUGUGAUUCUCAUAUUUCAUUUCUCUCCAGAGCCCCGCAGGUCAGUACCGCGGGAAGUCCGAACCCGCACCUCGUCGCGGUGCCACGCCGUCCCGCUCCCGGUGACCGGGUGACGGUUCCCCUCCGCCGGAGCUGCCAUGGAUCCGCUCGGCGACACUCGGCCGGCAGAAGCCGAACCCGCCCGGAUGAGCCGCAGACAGACCCUGACCCUGGUGUCCAUGGCGUCCGUGAACUUCAGCUCCAUGCUCUGUUACUCCAUCCUGGGUCCGUUCUUCCCUAACGAGGCCGUGAAGAAAGGAGCCAACCAGACUGUGGUGGGACUCAUAUUUGGCUGCUACGCCAUCUGCAACCUGAUUGGCUCUUUGGUCCUGGGGAGAUACAUCGUCCAGAUCGGGACCAAGUUCAUGCUCGUCGCAGGACUCUUCGUGUCUGCGGGCUGCACCAUCAUGUUUGGGUUGCUGGACCGCGCUCCUGCAGGGCCCACCUUCAUUGCGCUGUGCUUCAUCGUGAGGUCGGUGGACGCCGUGGGCUUCGCUGCUGCCAUGACCUCCACGUUUGCCAUGACAGCAAAAAUCUUCCCCAACAAUGUGGCGACUGUCCUGGGCAGUUUGGAGGUCUUCACAGGGCUGGGGCUUAUCGUGGGCCCCCCUGUGGGGGGCUGGUUCUACCACUCUUUCGGAUACGAGGUUCCCUUCAUGCUCCUUGGAUGCCUGCUGCUGAUCAUGGUUCCGUUCAACCUUUAUGUCCUGCCGUCCAUCGAGGCCGACCCAUCCAAGGACUCGUUCCUGCGGCUCCUCAGCCACGUCAAAGUCCUCUUGAUCUGUUUUGUGAUCUUUACGCUGAGCUCGGGUCUGGGCUUCUUUGACGCCACGCUGUCGCUGUACGCCAUGAAAACGUUCAACCUGUCCUCGGGCUACGUGGGGCUCAUCAUGCUGGGCCUGUCCUUGCCGUACUGUCUGGCCUCACCUCUGAUUGGUUACUUCACCGACAAAUACCCUGACUCCAGGAUCGGACUCACGGUGACGGGGGGCAUCGUCACAGCGAUGGGGUUCUGCUUGCUUGGUCCCGCCCCUUUCCUUCACAUUUCCAGUCAGCUGUGGUUGCUGGUGCUCAUGCUGGGCCUAAUCGGGUUUUCUCUGGGGAUGACGGCCAUCCCCACGUUCCCGGAGAUCAUCGUCUGUGCUCGAGAGAAAGGCUUGGAGGAGGGCCUCAGCACCCUGGGGAUGGUCUCUGGGUUGUUUGGUGCAUUUUGGUCCACGGGAAUGUUUUACGGCCCCAUUGUGGGCGGCCUUAUCACCCAACAUCUGACCUUUGAGUGGGCCGCCACCAUCCAGGGGGGCGUGGGCCUUCUGGCUGCCCUCCUCCUGGGGAUGUACUCCCUCUGGGAGCGCCGGCGGGGGAGCGUGCAGCAAACAGCAGAAAGCACUCCUUUGCUGGACUGAGGAAACAUCUAGGGGCGGGGCCAGCCGCUCUGCUCACGGAGAGAAGAUCUGAACGCCAUUCCUGCCAGAACGGGCCUUUGUCCGGAGCUUUUCCUGCUUAACAGCUUAGGUCUGGAAAGAAAUGGAUCCUUCAGGAACUCAGCCAGACAUGUUUGUGUUGGGGUAACUGGAUCUGUGUGGUUCUGGAGGAUAUAGGAGCUUCUUACCUGGCGUCAGUCAGUUCUGGUUCAGUGUCUGACAGAGUGGGUUCGGACAGAAACCUGAGCUCUCCGGACGAGCUGACAGCAGCAGAGACCUGAAAACCAGGAGGGGGUCAGAGAGGAACAGUUCAGACAAAGUCCGUCUUUAGAUCAUGACAUUCCUGAAUGAUCCGGAUCGGCCGUCUUCCUGUUAAAUAUAAGCCGGAUUUCAGGAAGAUGGUCUUUGUUCAGCAUGAAGUCAGUCAAUACUUUAGUUUGCAUUAACAUGAGCAGAGAAGGCAGAGUUUGGUUCAUGUCUAAUAAAAAAAGAAACUGAC